GCUGCUGUUGGUUGUGGAUGUGUUUCAACGGGUGCAAAUACACGAUGGUUCUUUUAGCUGAAAUUGUACAAGAACAAAGAUGGUUAUUAGCUCGUGCUCGACCUAACAGAGAGAAAAGUACACGAGAGCAAUGAAAGUUAUAAAAAUACAGAAUACACGAAAAACAUUCCAUAAAACUGUCCAGUGAGCCCGUAACAAGAUGGCGGCUGUUGAUACCUGACAUCUGAGCCUGAUAGCCAUACUGCACCUUCUCUCUAACCAGUAUAUACACGCCAACCAGCAAGCUAUCCAUGGAAAAGUUCAGUAUCAAUCGUUUAUAAUGGAUUCUCUGCACUGAAACGAGAAACAAAAAGACUUUGAUAACACUUAGGACUUGUAAAUGUACGAGUAUUGUGACCUGAUUAAUGAUAUGUUAACCUGGUGAUGACCCUGUGACCUUCAUAAGAGUAUGGACUCACCUUGUUGCUGUAUGAGUAUCAAAAAUAUCAAGAUGAUAAUUAAUGUGUUAACCUGGAGAUGACCCUUUGACCUUUAUAACAAAAUGCACUCACCUUUUUGCUGUAUGAGUAUUGACCUGAUCAUCAAGGUGUUUAAACCAUAUUGGUAACCCUGUGGUAAAGGGUGUUGCUCCUAGAUGAAUCCUUUACAAUGUUUCAAGGAAUAGAUCAUCACUGAUUAUCAGCUUACCAGAUAUUAGAGCAAGUGUCAGUCAAUUGUGUUGUGAUGCUGUCAAGCUCUGGUUCAAUCCAUAUAUUACAGACAACCCAGGUUAUACCACGCUGUUGUGCUGCAAAGCCUUGUCAGAUGAUGCAGCACCAUUAAGAUCCAGUUAUUCAGUACUGAAGACAAGAGUCAUCCACCAAGGAUAAAGGAUAUCAUGCCAUCAGAUUGAGUAACAUAACU